AACGAACGCUGGCGGCAUGCCUAACACAUGCAAGUCGAACGAGACCUUCGGGUCUAGUUGCGCACGGGUGCGUAACGCGUGGGAACCUGCCCUUAGGUUCGGAAUAACUCCCCGAAAGGGGUGCUAAUACCGGAUAAUGUCUUCGGACCAAAGAUUUAUCGCCUUUGGAUGGGCCCGCGUUGGAUUAGCUAGUUGGUAGGGUAAAAGCCUACCAAAGCGACGAUCCAUAGCUGGUCUGAGAGGAUGAUCAGCCACACUGGGACUGAGACACGGCCCAGACUCCUACGGGAGGCAGCAGUGGGGAAUAUUGGACAAUGGGCGAAAGCAUGAUCCAGCAAUGCCGCGUGAGUGAUGAAGGCCUUAGGGUUGUAAAGCUCUUUUACCCGGGAUGAUAAUGACAGUACCGGGAGAAUAAGCUCCGGCUAACUCCGUG
rnacentral:rRNA from 1 species